UAGGGAAUCUUCGGCAAUGGACGGAAGUCUGACCGAGCAACGCCGCGUGAGUGAAGAAGGUUUUCGGAUCGUAAAGCUCUGUUGUAAGAGAAGAACGAGUGUGAGAGUGGAAAGUUCACACUGUGACGGUAUCUUACCAGAAAGGGACGGCUAACUACGUGCCAGCAGCCGCGGUAAUACGUAGGUCCCGAGCGUUGUCCGGAUUUAUUGGGCGUAAAGCGAGCGCAGGCGGUUAGAUAAGUCUGAAGUUAAAGGCUGUGGCUUAACCAUAGUACGCUUUGGAAACUGUUUAACUUGAGUGCAAGAGGGGAGAGUGGAAUUCCAUGUGUAGCGGUGAAAUGCGUAGAUAUAUGGAGGAACACCGGUGGCGAAAGCGGCUCUCUGGCUUGUAACUGACGCUGAGGCUCGAAAGCGUGGGGAGCAAACAGGAUUAGAUACCCUGGUAGUCCACGCCGUAAACGAUGAGUGCUAGGUGUUAGACCCUUUCCGGGGUUUAGUGNCGCAGCUAACGCAUUAAGCACUCCGCCUGGGGAGUACNACCGCAAGGNU
rnacentral:rRNA from 1 species